AACGAACGCUGGCGGCAUGCCUAACACAUGCAAGUCGAACGAGACCUUCGGGUCUCGUGGCGCACGGGUGCGUAACGCGUGGGAACCUGCCCUUAGGUUCGGAAUAACUCCCCGAAAGGGGUGCUAAUACCGGAUAAUGUCUUCGGACCAAAGAUUUAUCGCCUUUGGAUGUGCCCGCGUUGGAUUAGCUAGUUGGUAGGGUAAAAGCCUACCAAGGCGACGAUCCAUAGCUGGUCUGAGAGGAUGAUCAGCCACACUGGGACUGAGACACGGCCCAGACUCCUACGGGAGGCAGGAGUGGGGAAUAUUGGAAAGUGGGGGAAAGCCUGAUCCAGCAAGGCCGGGUGAGUGAUGAAGGCCGUAGGGUUGUAAAGCUCUUUUACCCGGGAUGAUAAUGACAGUACCGGGAGAAUAAGCACCGACUAACUCCGUG
rnacentral:rRNA from 1 species